CACGUAGGAGGCAAACGUUAUCCGGAUUCACUGGGCGUAAUGCGCGUGUAGGUGGUUCUGUAAGUAGGGCGUGAAAGCUCCCGGCUCAACUGGGAGAGGCCGUACUAAACUGCAGAGCUAGAGGAUGGUAGAGGGAGGUGGAAUUCCAGGUGUAGUGGUGAAAUGCGCAGAUAUCUGGAGGAACACCAGUGGCGAAGGCGGCCUCCUGGACCAUUCCUGACACUCAGACGCGAAAGCUAGGGUAGCAAACGGAUUAGAUACCCG
rnacentral:rRNA from 1 species